rnacentral:rRNA from 1 species
CUGGUGAUUCAUAAUAACUUCUCGAAUCGCAUUUGCCCUUGUGCUGGCGAUGGUUCAUUCAAAUUUCUGCCCUAUCACACUUUCGACGGCUGGGUCUUGGCCAGCCAUGGUAGCAACGGGUAACGGAGGGUUAGGGCUCGACCCCGGAGAAGGAGCCUGAGAAACGGCUACUACAUCCAAGGAAGGCAGCAGGCGCGCAAAUUACCCAAUCCCAAUUCGGGGAGGUAGUGACAAUAAAUACUGAUACAGGGCUCUUUUGGGUCUUGUAAUUGGAAUGAGUACAAUUUAAAUCCCUUAACGAGGAACAAUUGGAGGGCAAGUCUGGUGCCAGCAGCCGCGGUAAUUCCAGCUCCAAUAGCGUAUAUUAAAGUUGUUGAAGUUAAAAAGCUCGUAGUUGAACCUUGGGCCUGGCUGGCCGGUCCGCCUCACCGCGUGCACUGGUCCGGCCGGGCCUUUCCCUCUGGGGAACCGCAUGUCCUUCACUGGGCGUGCUGGGGAACCAGGACUUUUACUUUGAAAAAAUUAGAGUGUUCAAAGCAGGCCUAUGCUCGAAUACAUUAGCAUGGAAUAAUAGAAUAGGACGUGUGGUUCUAUUUUGUUGGUUUCUAGGACCGCCGUAAUGAUUAAUAGGGACAGUCGGGGGCAUCAGUAUUCAAUUGUCAGAGGUGAAAUUCUUGGAUUUAUUGAAGACUAACUACUGCGAAAGCAUUUGCCAAGGAUGUUUUCAUUAAUCAGGAACGAAAGUUAGGGGAUCGAAGACGAUCAGAUACCGUCGUAGUCUUAACCAUAAACUAUGCCGACUAGGGAUCGGA